GAUGAACGCUAGCGGCAGGCCUAAUACAUGCAAGACGAACGGUAAGUUGAGUAGCAAUACUUAGCCAAGAGUGUCGUACGGGUGCGUAACACGUAUGCAACCUACCCUAUACAGGAGGAUAGCCUAGGGAAACCUGGAUUAACCCUUCAUAGUAUUAUUGGAUGGCAUCAUUUGAUAAUUAAAACUGAGGUGGUAUAGGAUGGGCAUGCGUCUGAUUAGUUAGUUGGCGGGGUAAUGGCCCACCAAGACGAUGAUCAGUAGGGGUUCUGAGAGGAAGAUCCCCCACACUGGCACUGAGAUACGGGCCAGACUCCUACGGGGAGCAGCAGUAGGGAAUAUUGGACAAUGGGGGCAACCCUGAUCCAGCAAUGCCGCGUGAGUGAUGAAGGCCUUAGGGUUGUAAAGCUCUUUUGCCAGGGAAGAUGAUGACUGUACCUGGAGAAUAAGCCCCCGGCUAACUUCGUGCCAGCAGCCGCGGUAAU
rnacentral:rRNA from 1 species